AAAGGAAAGAGGAUGCCUCUGGUUGGAGGAAACUUGAAGGGCUAUGAUAUCCUCAAGUGAAGAUUAUUUUUGGUGGUGGAUAUAUUGCUGUUGAGUUUGCUUCUAUCUGGAGAGGCUUAGGUGGUGAAGUAGACUUGUUUUAUAGAAAAGAACUUCCUCUGAGGUUUCGAUGAUGAGAUGAGAUCAAUUGUUGCAACUAACCUUGAGGGAAGGGGAGUCAGAUUGCGUCCAGCAACAAAUUUAACUGAGGUCGCGGGUCGAACUCCUAUAGGCUGAACUUAGUGUUGAGGUUCAUCAAGUAGGGCAAAUAAGGAAAGAAGACAAAUCAAGGAUUCACCAUUAAUUUCGGGAUUGUGUAACUUCACGUCUGUUUAGGCUGGUUAAUACUCCAGUACACCAGUUCCAAAUAUAUGGGCCGUGGGUGAUGUAAGAAAUCGGAUCAACCUUACACCUGUUGCUCUGAUGGAGGCUACUUGCGUUUCUAAAACUGUGUUUGGUGGCCAGCCAAUUAAGCCCGAUUACAAAUAUGUACCUUGUGCUUUUUUCUGGUAAGUAAUUGCCAUGAUUACAAAGAUGUACCUUGUGCUGUUUUCUGGUACGUGGACCUUAACCAGGCGCGUGAGCCCAGCAUCUAAGCCAAAGAUGAACCUGUAAGCAAGGUUCGGAACGUUUUGGGCCAAAUAUAUACCUUUGUCUGGUUUGCUUUGGCUAGGGGAACUCUAGAAGCUGACUUCAGU